rnacentral:lncRNA from 1 species
GAGUGCUGCGUUGGGCUUCCAGCUCCCUACAACGCAGACCAGUACUGGAGUUCGUGCUGCUGGAAGACCGCCGCCCGACUCUGGGCCCCGGGUAGGAAACAACAAUUUCGGACCUCCUGGGGUCUAUGCUAGGUAUGAGGUGUAUCUUUGCCCUCCAUCAAGUAGCAAAGAUGGACAUGUAAACAAAUUUCGACACUGUGAUGACUGCCACAAAAAGCAGCAUUAUGAGGUUGAAUGUAAAAGGAUAACCUUAGCGGCGGCGGGGGCCGGAGGAUGAAGGAAGGCUUCCUGAGGUAGGCGCUGGUUGAAACUGAAGUUGGAGAGAGCAAGUGGCAUUUGCUGAAGUGCAUUUCCGGUAGAAAACUCCAGUGGUCCCUCACCUGACUGAGUGGCGCAGUCAGAGAUAAAUGGAACAGAGUCUACAAAUAAACAUUUUAUAAAGAUGAUCCUUCAAUACAUAUUCUACAGCCCAGUUAAAAUGUGAGAGGCCAUGAUCUACAGACAGCCGUUUAUAAAGGUGGAUCAGGGCCGGACACGGUGGCUCAACGUCUGUAAUCCCGGCACUCUGGGAGGCCAAAGCGGGAGGAUCGCUUGAGCCCAGGAGUUCGAGACCAACCUGGCCAACAUGGUGAGACCCCA